rnacentral:rRNA from 1 species
CGGGACGGGUGAGUAACGCGUGGGUAACCUGCCUCAUACAGGGGGAUAACAGUUAGAAAUGACUGCUAAUACCGCAUAAGACCACAGUGCCGCAUGGCACAGGGGCCAAAGCCAAGACGGUAUGAGAUGGACCCGCGUCUGAUUAGGUAGUUGGUGGGGUAAAGGCUCACCAAGCCGACGAUCAGUAGCCGACCUGAGAGGGUGACCGGCCACAUUGGGACUGAGACACGGCCCAAACUCCUACGGAAGGCAGCAG